GACAGGAGAACGUUAGGUUAACGACAGGAGAACGUUAGGUUAACGACAGGAGAACGUUAGUUUAACGACAGGAGAAUGUUAGGUUAACGACAGGAGAACGUUAGGUUAACGAGAGGAGAACAUUAGCUUAAUGACAGGAGAACAUCAGUUUAUCGACAGGAGAACAUCAGUUUAACGACAGGAGAACGUUAGCUUAACGACAGGAGAAUGUUAUCUUAACAACAGGAGAACAUCAGUUUAACGACAGGAGAACGUUAGGUUAACGACAGGAGAAUGUUAGGUUAACGAGAGGAGAACAUUAGCUUAACGAAUGGAGAACAUCAGUUUAUCAACAGGAGAACAUCAGUUUAACGACAGGAGAACGUUAGGUUAACGACAGGAGAACGUUAGGUUAACGACAGGAGAACGUUAAGUUAACGAGAGGAGAACAGUAGUUUAAUGACAGGAGAACAUCAGUUUAUCGACAGGAGAAUAUCAGUUUAACGACAGGAGAACGUUAGCUUAACGACAGGAGAAGGUUAGGUUAACGACAGGAGAACGUUAGGUUAACGACAGGAGAA